UCCCUGCUGGCUCAGUGGGUAGAGUGUCUGCCAGCAAUGCAGUAGACCCAGGUUCAAUCCCUGGGUCAGGAA
rnacentral:tRNA from 1 species